AAAGAUGAGUGUGAAAGUGUUAAAGUUUAAUAUAAUAAGUCGUAAAAUAAUUAAGAUCCUUGAACCUUGCUAUUUGUGGCUACAAAUUGCACGAAAAGAACUAUAUUUGAAUAAGCUGGCUUUUACGAUUCAAAACAUAAAAGUUAAGACUUGGAGUACGAUUCUCGACUUUAUCAGAACCAAUAUCGAGGUAAGUUGAUAUAUUUCGUAAAUAUAUGAAGGCUGCAAUGGUUCAAGAUUUAUAUAAUAACUAAAUAACAUAUCUGAUAUGUUUAACGAUAUCAACGAAAAUUUAUAUAAAAGAACACUUACAAAGACUCAAAUUAAUAUUUACUGUUAAUCUCCGAAACAUGUAAUUUAAAAAGAGAAUGAUAAAAGAUGAUGAUGAAGUUAUGAAUCAUCGAAAGUACUAAAAUAUAUAUCUGCUGGCGUUCAGAUAUAACGGUUUUUUUUUAUAUAACUUAACGUCGGCAGUAAUAUAUUUUAUUACUUCCGAUAAUUCAUGAUAUUUAUAUCGGCUUUGGUAACAUAAGACAUUAUAUUAACCGCUGGAAACAUGAAAGGUUAGUUUAAAAUUUAGAUAUGCUAACGUUAAUGAUUGAUUUGUAUGAUGUCAAAUUAUUUCUCGUUUUCUUUUUAUUCAGUAUUAGGUGAAAACUACGUACGUUAAUGGAUGAUCUCAUGGAACUAUGUAAAAUAAGAUCACUACAACACCACUAGGAACUGCACAGGAACAUAGAACAAAUUAUCCAUUUUUAAAAACUAUUUAUGAGCAAUUUUUUGGCGUUAGUCCUGUGUAGUAAUAUUUUGUUUUUAUUCCAAUUUAAGGGCCAGUGAAGAGUUGUUCAUUCAAUCAUUCUUAUAAUGGUAAUUCCAGCCUCAACUUUUCUGUGAUGUUUUCAAAUGUACAAUUUGAAACUUAAUUUUACUUUCCAGUUCGUUUUAUAGAUUUUUCUUUAAUUCAAAACGUAUAUAUUGUGUACGAAUCAUUGGCAGAAAAAUAAAAUGUUACAUUGAUGUGUGUUUCCCCAUUUUAAUAGUCAGUAGAAUAAAUUGUGUGAGUUAUCUUUAUAUACUGAAGCCAAAUACAAUGCAAAGUGUUAAUUUAAUGUUAAGUGCCUAUCGUACUAGGUAGUUUUUGUUGAAUAACAUUAAGAGUUCAAAUAAAAGUAUCUUAACGUUUAUUUUAGAGAAAAUAAUGUUUCCUUUUGUUUAUUAUUUUAUCUGUUUUGAUUGUUUUUUAUUCAUACGUUAGUGUAGUAUGUACAUUUAGUUUUACUUCAUUUCAGAUACUAUUUACAGAAUGAACAGCACUACAUUUGUAUUCACUAUUCUUCUCUUUGCUAUAGGUAAAAUAUUACAUUUUUCUAAUUUUAACUUGUCUGUUAAAUUUAUCUUCAUUAACAAAAAUGGGGUCGAAUACUCUAUACUUCUGUACAUGUAUGCAAUUAAUUACAAUUACUUUGUUAUCUAAUAUGAUCAAUUGCACGUAUACCUAAAUUUAAAUAUUUUCUUUGAAGUAUUCAUACUUACUUUGAAUUACUUAUGAUAUUACAGAAAUGUUUAUAAAAAAUCAGUCGAAAGAUAAAAAAGGACAUUUUAACUCGCAAAAGUGAUUAAGAUGAUAAAACAAUGUUGACUUUUAUUGACAUGUUUACCUAUUGUGUCUGUUUGUAUCGUUCAUACAUCGUUGUCAAUAACGGAAUUUUUUGCAAUGGUCAUAGAAGUUCGAAGUUUAGCAAGGUAUAAAAUCAGGUUUAAUGCAACAUUUUCUACAUAAGAAUAUGCCUGUACCAAGUCAGGAAUAUGACAGUUGUUAUCCAUUCGUUUGUUUUACGUUUUGAAGUUGACCAAUGAAUUUGAAUAGAGCCUUUCCUUUUUUGAAGUUUCCUGGGUGUUCAGUAUUGUUGUGAUUUUACUUUUCACAAGUCGACAAAAAACUGAAAAUGCUAUGGCUUAAACAUUAGAAAGACCAAAGGACAAAUAACUGGAUACACAACGAAGUAUAGAAAACAAAAGACUGCGCAACACGAUAACCACUAUAAUCUUUUUAAAGACUAUAGAUUUAUCAUUAUUGUAAUUGUCUUUAAGCCAAUGACAAUAAUGAUAUAAGUAGAUUGAGUUUAUAAUUUGAAGGACUGUUUGAAAAGGGUUAAUACUUGAUGCAGUUGGAAAGCAAAUAUUUAAAUGUUUAUGACAAAACACAAAAAUUUUCAAAUAAAAAAAAACAAAGGUUAUAAAUUUCAAGUGGGCCUAUGUAUGCUGAUUAUCAAAGUCAAAAUUUAAAUUAGAAUUAUUGUUUUAUUUUAUUCAAUGAAGUCUAUCUGAAUGCCACUUUUUUUUCUAGAAGUGAGAUGCUGCACUUGUAAAGGAAUUCUAGGUUGCACUUUGUAAAUAAAGCGGUUUAUCAAACCCCGCCUAUUUUGGGAAGAUAUAUAGUAUUCAUAGAUAUAACUGUUUUGUUAAUAACCUUACCUGGUUACCGGAUAGUAGCUCUAUAUUUCAUCUCAAGACGACGUAACUAGGGAAUGUUACCAGUAUAAAUACAAAUAGACAGCGGCUUAAUUAAAUCCCGAAGUAGAUUCAAAGUAAAAGGAGGGGAAUUUUUGUAUAAGUUUAACUCUUACAAGUUCGAGGAAUACAAAUGGUGAAAAAUAGAAGUUAAUAUGAACUUAAAUAUGAACUUCAAAACUUUAUAGUAAAAGUGUUACAGUUGUAGUGACGUAGUUUCUAUGCAUAAUUGCAUAGUUUAUAUUAACAGAAGUGCAAUCUAUAAGGAGAUUGACCAAGUCCGAUGGAUUUUUAUGUUUAGUUUGUCAAUCAACGAAAUAUAGUUCUUAUAAUUCUUAACCUUAUCAAAUAUAACUUUAUAUAUUGUUAACUAUUCUCCAUCAAAUGAAAAAUUGAUAAGUCGUUAUUUAGGAAGUUUUGAAAUCUAUAAAUGUUGGAUUCACGCAAUAAAAUAAAAAUAAAAUAGCAUCUACUUGAUGUGGAAGAAUAACUGAAUAACUGUUUAUUUUCUUUGGGCGUAAUAUUUUGUAAUGAAUUACGCGCUUAAAUCAUCCUUGCAAUAAGCUUUACUUUAUAUUGAUGUCAUACAUAUUUUAAAAUAUUAUGCAUUAGUCCAUUUUGUUGUGCAUUAGAAUAGAAAUAACAGUACAUGCCUUGUUUUUCGGAUCCCAUGCAUGUUUGUUGCAUAGGAAUACAUCUCAGUGAAUGUAACGAUAGUUGCUUCGGCAACCUGAUUCUAUUGACGUGUAAGCCAAGGGGAAAAUCUGAUGGAUCAAUUUGAUUAGAGUAAAUGCAAAAUAUACAGAAGUGAUAACCAAAUAUUGAAGGUAAUAUUUGAAGUAUCGCAGUGUGGUUUCAAAGCAAUUUCUUCUAUCGCAAAGACUUAAUGAAUGCAAGUUCAUCUAGUGAAGUUGUUUACAUGUUCAACUUAAGUUAGUUAUAUUCUUGUUGUAGAAUAGAAGCUAUAAUUAUUCAUAUAGAAUUGAGUUUGUAAAUGGGGUAGAACAGAUUGAUUUCAAAAUUCACCAAGGAUAAAAAUUUAAAAAAAUUCAAAAGUAGUAUGCCUCUGUUCGAAACUUUCAGUACCCAUGGUUGAUGUAAAGGAUUAUAUAAUUUAGAUAAAAAAGUGCUCUGUUUAACUUAACACUGAAACGAUACAUAUCAGUGAAUUGCAACAGCUUGAGUUUGUCAGUGUUUAUUGACCUCCACGUUGUAGAAUUCGCCUUAUUUAUUUUGGUUUUGUUACACUUUUAAAACACAUUUAGUGUUAAUGAAAAUAUACUCCGUUUCAAUUAACCGUUUUAACAUUAUUUAUUUAUAUACAGGUAUGCGAGAAUCCUUUCAGCAAGUCUGUUCUGACAGAUUUUGUAAAGUAGCUUACAUCAGUAACGUUGGCUGCGCAGGUUGUUGUUUAGGGUCUGGAUGUAAUGGUCUAUUGCGAAAACUCUAAAUGUUAUUGCAACGGAUGCGAGGUUAAGAAAAGUGAAGGUGUGUAUUGAAUUUGGUAAAAAAAUUGAUUUAAGAUUAAAGCGUUAUGAUACAUUUACGGCAAUAUACGAGAUAAGUCAAAAGACACAAUAGUUUGACCGGACAACAGAAAGUCACUUGUUCAUAAUGAAUGCUUUACGAGUAUGUUUACCACUUUAAAAGUUGAAAAUAUGUAACCUUUUGAGUUAAUUUUUAUGAACUAUUUGUUUAUCAACUUUUUUUCGUGGUUUUUAUGUACGUACCACACGUCAUGUCACUUUCGAGAAAAAUGGGUAUUAACAGUUUUCCUGAUUUCCUGAAAAACAGAUACUUACUCAAAGAAACACACAAAAACGGAGAAAUCACAUAAAAACGAAAAUGAGGGUUCCUUGUUUAGUCGAAACAGUAAAACAUAAAAUUGCAAAACUACCAAACUCGGAGGAAAGUUUUAAACGAAAAGUCUCGAAACUAAUGGCAAAAUCGGAAACUCAAUCACAUCAAUCGAACAGAUUACAACACUGGUACGGGUCUCCUAUUCUUCAUGUUUAACCGAAAUAGAGAAUCCACAAUCACGUAAAACGUCAAAAUUGGGAAAAAAAAGGUUUAAUUAAAAAAAGAAAAAUGCAUUCUUACCACAGGUCCUUGUUUUAUAUUUAUGAUGUUUAUUGCUAUUUAGUAUCAACCUCAAGAGAUGGAACUGUUACUGCUUUCAGCUCAGCAAGAUGUCGGAUAAGUAUGUAAAGCAAAAGCGAUAUAUAUAUGUGAGACUCUGAACCGCAUUUGUCACGCUGACGUGCGAUGGUUGGGCGAUGAAGUGCUAUGGUGACAUUAUUACGAUUGUAGCUAGCUUGGCUUAAGGGGGUUCGCUUCUCAAUUUCAUAAUAAUUAACUUUUCAAAACACUAGUUUAUAAUGAUAGGGAAUUAAUAAAGGAAUCAAAAGAGCAAACAAAAAAUAUAUAAUGUGCUUGUUUUCGAGAAAUUAGCAAUUCAAAUUUUGGCGGGAAAAUAUUCUCUCUUGACUUUUCAUAGCUUUAUCAUUGACAGGUUUUAAUAAUCAAACACUAUUAAAAAAAUAAUUAAGAUUUUGUAAGACUUUUACAAAUGGCUUAUUAUUAUACAUGGAUUAGAUUUAGAAAAAGAAAAAUAGGGAUCGAUCGGCAUUUUUUUGAGGCAUUUAAAUAGACAAAACCGGAGGAUUCCGUAAAUCUAACAUAAAUCCAAAAACCUGACAAGCCAACUUCCUUAAGUGCGUUGGGUGGUAACGCUGAAGUGCUAUGGAUUGAAGUUGUCAUUUGUACAAUGUUUUUGUUUCGAUGUAGAAGUCAAUUUGUUUGUUAGAAGUAGCUUUUCAGUUUUAAGGGCAUAAGAUACAUUUUUGAUCCAAUAUUGUAAUUUUGCUAAAAAUUGCAUGUAGGCUAUUUUUUGCCUGAUUAAAUCAAAUAUGUCAUAAAAAAUAUACCUCAUGUGCUACUUUUUGAGUAAAAUGAGGUCGAAAUUUGAUAUGUUUGCUAAAAAGUCGGAUUUGUGGACGUAUUUUUCCUUUCGACAGGUAUACAUUACAUUUUUGUUUUAAAAGAUAAACACAAGCUGUUUUUGUUAAAUUAUUUGUAAAUUCUGUCUCAUAUAAACGUCCUUAAAAUUUGUGCAAUUGGUUUUUUCAAAUAACUCAUAUUUAUCAAAUGUUCACAAAUGUAGAAAAAAAACAAAAUUUUUGCUGUAUAUUAUAUAUAUAUAUAUAUAUAUAUAUAUAUAUAUAUAUAUAUAUAUAUAUAUAUAUAUAUAUAUAUAUAUAUAUAUAUAUAUAUAUAUAUAUAUAUAUAUAUAUAUAUAUAUAUAUAUAUAUAUAUAUAUAUAUAUAUACUAGUCAACAAAAGAAACGAUACACGACUUUUUUUCAAAUUAAAUAUGAAGUUUUCCGUUUAAAGGACCAAUAUUGAAGGUUGUAAUACUUAAUGACCAUGGAAAAAUAAAUCCGUUUAGAAAAAAUAUUUUUUUUGCUUUCAUGACGUCAUUUGGCGAAAUUUAAUUUUUUUGACAAAAUUUACAGAAAACGACCAUUUUAAAAACAGAAAUUCCAACUAAUGAUGCAAACCUCUCAUUUAAAGGUAAAAACAAUGAUUGCCAUUAAUUCUUUUUUAAUAAUCAUACGUUUAUUUGUAAAGUAAAGUUCGGCCUCACUAAAAAUCGUUAAAAUGUUUACAUUAUCAAUUGAUAUGUGUAAAGUGAAAUUAAAAAAACAACGGUAACAAUCUUAAAACUAAUCCGAAAGUUUCCAAAUUUACAGUGUAUUGUUUUCAUAUCUAAAGCAUUGAUUUAAGACGAUAUUCUUUUUUUUUUAUUUGCAUUUUUUGAGAUUUAAAAAACACGCUUCUUCUACCAAAAAUUUAAAAAAACAAUAUUUCAACCCAUAAGUUACAACAUAAACAUAACUUGAUGAGCAUAUUGGAUAUUUUUUAACAAAUUCGAAAAUUCAUUUAGUAAUUAGAAAAUUGUGUGGCGAUUUUUUAUCCAACUCUCCGCAAAAAUAAUUUGCACCCUAUGAUCGUUUACAAGGAAUUUAGUUACUUUCCGACAUGGUUUGAUUUUCAUUCUCAUAUGUGCAUACAUUGCAAAUGAAAGCCUUUUAAAAUAGUGUAUCUCAAUUUGCUUUAUAUUUAAUACUUUGUGAUAAAUUUUAUUUUAAAGUCGUGUAUCGUUUCUUUUGUUGACUAGUAUAUUUAAAAAAAAAUUGCAUGUUUUCAUGUAAUUUAGCAUACAUUAUCUUCUUACGUAAUGAAACCAAAUGACAUUUUAAAAAAGAGGGGUCCAUGAACUCAAGUUAAAUUAGUUUGAAUGAUAAAAAAUUGAAAACAACACGUUUAAUAUUUAUGGCGUCCGAAGCACUAUUCUGAGUCAGAACUGAAUCUUUUCCCGAUAAGUCAUAAUUUGACGUCGCGAAAAUAACAAUUAACGUUAGCAGCGUCAUUACCUACGUGCCCUGUAGCUGUAUUGUAUGCCCUCAAACAUAAGUCUAGUCAUAAAAAUAUCGUUAGUGUUUACUUUUUACAUCGCAAAGACUUCUCCCCAUCCUCAAAUACAGUCGUUCAUAGAAUCGCCAAGAAAAUGACGUCUAUAGACUCUAAAUGCACAGGCUUUUUUCCCUUUAAAACGAAUUACAACUGUGGGCAAUAAAACACACGCUUAUUGUUGAAAAUGCAAAUGCUGUUUGAUUAGUUAUAUAUCAAUAAAGAGUUAGGUAGGUAAAUGAAAUAGAUAAAAAAAAACAAAACAAAAAACAGCAGCAGCCCUCAUUAAUCUUAUUUUUGGAGUGAAAUGCUUGUCAUCUUUUAAUUGUUAUUUUGUUUUUAUUUCAGGCGGUAAAUGGGGACUGUCUCUAGCUCUUCGAGAAGCCG
rnacentral:lncRNA from 1 species